rnacentral:rRNA from 1 species
UACGAAGGGGGCUAGCGUUGCUCGGAAUCACUGGGCGUAAAGCGCUCGUAGGCGGAUCUUUAAGUCAGGGGUGAAAUCCUGGAGCUCAACUCCAGAACUGCCUUUGAUACUGGGGAUCUCGAGUCCGGAAGAGGUGAGUGGAACUCCGAGUGUAGAGGUGAAAUUCGUAGAUAUUGGGAAGAACACCGGUGGCGAAGGCGGCCAACUGGACCACAACUGACGCUGAGGCGCGAAAGCGUGGGGAGCAAACAGG